AUAAGACUUAAUAAUUAUUGUAAUUCAUAACAUAUUAAACAUACAUUAUUUUGAAAUAUUUUUUUAAAAUAGAUGUGCAAAAACAAAAUUGAAUAUAUUAUCAAAUUGUUGAUCGAGUAAUUGAUCAAAACUUUACUCUAUGACAUCGUAAAAUGGAAUACGGGACGAAAAAGCCAUAUCGUUUGAUAGCUUGUGGUAGAAAAAGAAAA
rnacentral:sRNA from 1 species